AGUGAACGCUGGCGGUGCGCCUAACACAUGCAAGUCGAGUGGGUUCAGACCCACGGCGAACGGCUGCGUAACGCGUUGGCAUGUACCCCGAACUCAGGGAUAUCCCUCCGAAAGGAGGAGUAAUACCGGAUGGUCCCGCAAGGGUAAAGAUUUAUCGGUUCGGGAACAGCCUGCGUCCUAUCAGGUAGUUGGUGAGGUAACGGCUCACCAAGCCUAUGACGGGUAGCUGGUCUGAGAGGACGACCAGCCAGAAUGGAACUGAGACACGGUCCAUACUCCUACGGGAGGCAGCAGUGAGGAAUCUUCCGCAAUGGACGAAAGUCUGACGGAGCGACACCGCGUGGAGGAUGAAGGGAUUUUUUCCCGUAAACUCCUGUUCUGAGGGACGAAAUUUUUGACGGUACCUCAGGAGAAAGCAUCGGCUAACCCUGUGCCAGCAGCCGCGGUAAGACAGGGGAUGCAAGCGUUACUCGGAAUUACUGGGCGUAAAGCGUCUGCAGGUGUCUUGUCACGUCUGGUGUCAAAUGAUACGGCUUAACCGUGUCAACGUGCCGGAAACGAGCGAGAUCGAGUCAUUCAGAGGUACCUGGAAUGUCGUGUGUAGGGGUAAAAUCCGUAGAUCCACGAUGGAACGCCAAAAGCGAAGGCAGGGUACUGGGAAUGCACCGACACUCAGAGACGAAAGCGUGUGGGAGCAAAGGGGAUUAGAUACCCCCGUAGUCCCACGCCCCUAAACGAUGCGGGCUCGAUGUANGGACUUUCAUUUGGUUCCUGUGUCCAAGCUAACGCGGUAAGCCCGCCGCCUGGAAGUACGGCCGCCAAGGCUAAAACCCAAAGGAAUAGACGGGACCCACACAAGCGUUGGAACAUGGGGUUAUCGAUGCACGCGCAAAACCUUACCUGGGUUGACAUACAGUGAAGACGGCAGAGAUGUCGUCGCUCGCAAGAGUCGCUGUACAGGUGCUGCAUGGCUGUCGUCAGCUCGUGUCGUGAGAUGUUGGGUUAAGUCCCGCAACGAGCGCAACCCCUGCCUUUAGUUGCCAGCAUUAAGUUGGGCACUCUAAAGGGACUGCCGACGUUAAGUCGGAGGAAGGUGGGGAUGACGUCAAGUCCUCAUGGCCUUUAUAUCCAGGGCUACACACGUACUACAAUGGUCGGUACAAAGGGUUGCAAAGCAGUGAUGUGAAGCUAAUCCCAAAAAACCGAUCUAAGUUCGGAUUGGAGUCUGCAACUCGACUCCAUGAAGCUGGAAUCGCUAGUAAUCGCGGAUCAGCAUGCCGCGGUGAAUACGUUCCCGGGCCUUGUACACACCGCCCGUCACACCAUGAGAGCUGGUUCUACCAGAAGUCGCUGUGCUAACUCGUAGGCAGGCGCCCAAGGUAGGGCUAGUGAUUGGGGUG
rnacentral:rRNA from 1 species